GGGUAGGCCGGCCCGGUUGAUCGGGCGCCGGCCUCCUGCGUCGGUGGCGAGGGAGGCCAGGCCCCACACCCCCAGUGCGCGGUCCGGGCCGGCCACC
rnacentral:tRNA from 1 species